AGAAGAAGAACUCUCAGGAAGUUUGAAAAGAAGCAAGCCGUCCGCAUUCAUUCAAUCUCACAUCCGACCACUCAAACUAACCCUAACCCUGCAUUCCAUUGUUUCCAUCAUGGGAAAUCUAAGUGACGCUCUCAAAUUAACAGGAACAUUGCGCAGAAGAUAUGUCCUGGGCAAUGGACUGAGAAAACGGGCAGAGAUUUGGAGGUAUUUGUGCAUGCUCUAUAUUACAGUUGAAAAGUGUAUAACAGCUUUCCAAUGCUGUUACUUGUGGCGAACACCUUUUUGCUUGAGUUGAUGCGUGCCCGCAGGUGGAAUAAUGUCACAUGUCACACACAUUUUCUGUUGUUUUGAUUUAUUUACUCAUUCAUCAUUUUAUGUGCGCACCUCUCCUAAUCAACCCACCCAUUAAAUAGACGGGCACAAUAGCACCAUCUGCUGGCACAAAAAAUACAUAACAAUAAACUGCAAAACCCCAAUCUGGCUCCUACAAAGUGUAUGUGACAAGAUGAUUAACGUUUGCUUUUGUUAAAUCAGGGCUUCCCCAGCCAGGACUUCGGCUCAGACUGUGGCAUAUUCAUGUUGAUGGUAGGUCAUAACGAGCUGUAAUGCACAAAUAUUGUAUCUAGAAUAACUUUCCAACAUGGACUUUUUUAAAGUUAUCUCACAUGUUGUCUCAUAAUUUUUUUUUUAAAGUCUGCCAUGUACAUCGUUAUGGAGUCACAGUUUGACUACUCAGUUGUAAGUACUUUUCAACAUGCAGUGUCAUCCUCAAGAUUGUAUUUUGUAUUGUGCACUAAAAUGAAAUACAAACAACAAUUUCAGCAUGACAUGCCUGUUUGGCGGCGAUGGUGGUGCCUGUUGCUCCUGGAGAACAAUUCUUUGAACAGGUAGACAGUUUAAGUAAACUAGAUGUCCUAAUUAACUGGAAGACAAUCAAUAUAUUGUACUUAAAGACAUAUUGUCAUUACAGUUGUGGGAAAAUCUUCGCCCACUGGACCAAAGAAUGUCAAGAGCUCAUUGCUGGAAAGCAU